UACGUAGGGUGCGAGCGUUAAUCGGAAUUAUUGGGCGUAAAGAGCUCGUAGGCGGCUCGGUAAGUCGGAUGUGAAAACUCGGGGCUCAACCCCGAGACGCCAUCCGAUACUGCUGUGGCUUGAGUCUGGUAGGGGAGAACGGAAUUCCUGGUGUAGCGGUGAAAUGCGCAGAUAUCAGGAGGAACACCGGUGGCGAAGGCGGUUCUCUGGGCCAGUACUGACGCUGAGGAGCGAAAGCGUGGGUAGCAAACAGG
rnacentral:rRNA from 1 species